GACGAACCGAGCGAUCGUUGUUCGGAAUCACUGGGCUUAAAGGGUGCGUAGGCGGUCUGCCAAGUUUGAGGUGAAAUCCUCCGGCUCAACCGGGGAAGUGCCUUGAAUACUGGCGGUCUGGAGGGAGGUAGGGGCGUGCGGAACUAACGGUGGAGCGGUGAAAUGCGUUGAUAUCGUUAGGAACUCCGGUGGCGAAGGCGGCACGCUAGACCUCUUCUGACGCUGAGGCACGAAAGCCAGGGGAGCGAACGGG
rnacentral:rRNA from 1 species